rnacentral:rRNA from 1 species
ACGCACGCUGGCGGCGUGCUUCACACAUGCAAGUCGCACGAAAAGAGGGAAAGAGCUUGCUCUUUCCGGAAUUGAGUGGCAAACGGGUGAGUAACACGUAAACAGCCUGCCUUCAGGAUGGGGACAACAGACGGAAACGACUGCUAAUACCGAAUAAGUUCCAAGGGCCGCAUGGCCCAUGGAAGAAAAGGUGGCCUCUACCUGUAAGCUAUCGCCUGAAGAGGGGUUUGCGUCUGAUUAGCUGGUUGGAGGGGUAACGGCCCACCAAGGCGACGAUCAGUAGCCGGUCUGAGAGGAUGAACGGCCACACUGGAAUUGAGACACGGUCCAGACUCCUACGGGAGGCAGCAGUGGGGAAUCUUCCGCAAUGGGCGAAAGCCUGACGGAGCAACGCCGCGUGAGUGAUGACGGCCUUCGGGUUGUAAAACUCUGUGAUCCGGGACGAAAAGGCAGAGUGCGAAGAACAAACUGCAUUGACGGUACCGGAAAAGCAAGCCACGGCUAACUACGUG